rnacentral:rRNA from 1 species
CCCCAGCUUCGUGCCGUGAGAUGUCCUGUUAAGUCAGGUAACGAGCGAGAUCCCCUGCCCGCUAGUUGCUAUCAUUAUUNUCAGGAAUAGUGGGGCGAAUUAGUGGGACUGCCCGUUGUUAAAACGGAGGAAGGAAGGGGUUACGGCAGGUCAGUAUGCCCCCGAAACUCUNGGGGCCACACGCGGGCUGCAAUGGUAGUGACAAUGAGUUCCAAACUCGAAAGAGAGUGGCAAUCUCUAAACGCUACCACAGUUAUGACUGAGGGCUGUAACUCGCCCUCACGAAUAUGGAAUCCCUAGUAACCGCGUGUCAUUACCGCGCGGUGAAUACGUCCCUGCUCCUUGCACACACCGCCCGUCGUUUCAUCGAAGUUUGCUUUUAGCGAGGUGAUGUUUAAUUGGCAUUAUCGAACUUGAGGUAAGCGACGAGGGAAAAGUCGUAACAAGGUA